GACCGCGGCUGCUGGCACGGAGUUAGCCGAUCCUUAUUCGCAGGGUACAUACAAAACACCACACGUGGUGCACUUUAUUCUCCUGCAAAAGAAGUUUACAAUCCAUAGGACAUUCUUCCUUCACGCGACUUGGCUGGUUCAGGCUCUCGCCCAUUGACCAAUAUUCCUCACUGCUGCCUCCCGUAGGAGUCUGGUCCGUGUCUCAGUACCAGUGUGGGGGACCUUCCUCUCAGAACCCCUAAUGAUCGUUGCCUUGGUGAGCCGUUACCUCACCAACUAGCUAAUCAUACGCAUGCCCAUCUGUAAGCCAUAAAUGUUUAACUAUAUUCCCAUGCGAAAACAUAGUGUUAUGCGGUAUUAGUCCGGAUUUCUCCGGGUUAUUCCCCGCUUACAGGCAGGUUGCAUACGUGUUACUCACCCGUGCGCCGGUCGCCACCAAAAGUAUUGCUACUCUUUGUGCUGCCCCUCGACUUGCAUGUGUUAGGCCUGUCGCUAGCGUUCAUCCUGAGCCAUGAUCAAACUC
rnacentral:rRNA from 1 species